ACUCAAAUGAAUUGACGGGGGCCCGCACAAGCGGUGGAGCAUGUGGUUUAAUUCGACGCAACGCGAAGAACCUUACCUGGGCUCGAACGGCUUUGGACGGCUCUUGGAAACAGGGGUUUUCCCGCAAGGGACUGAAGUCGAGGUGCUGCAUGGCUGUCGUCAGCUCGUGUCGUGAGAUGUUGGGUUAAGUCCCGCAACGAGCGCAACCCUUGUCCUGUGUUGCAACUAAUAGGCACUCUCAGGAGACCGCCAGCGAUAAGCUGGAGGAAGGUGGGGAUGACGUCAAGUCAUCAUGGCCUUUAUGUCCAGGGCUACACACGUGCUACAAUGGGCGGUACAGACCGCUGCAAACCCGCGAGGGGGAGCAAAUCGGAAAAAACCGUUCUCAGUUCGGAUUGCAGGCUGCAACUCGCCUGCAUGAAGCUGGAAUCGCUAGUAAUGGCAUAUCAGAACGAUGCCGUGAAUACGUUCCCGGGCCUUGUACACACCGCCCGU
rnacentral:rRNA from 1 species